UGAAAUGCGAAAACUAAUGCGAUUUGCAUGAAUCUGUGAGUCAUCAAGUCUUUGAACGCAACUGGCACUCUUCGGUCCCACUGAAGAGUAUACCUGUUUGAGAAUCGUAAACAUUCUUGACUCUAGUCAGGGUCAGAGAUGAGGCUUCAGCUCCGGCUGUGUCUUUAAAUGCAUUAGGUCUGGUCUGGGUCAGUCAACCUAGACAUUGUGUGCUAGAGUCAAAUCUUUGACUACUCACAAUGUGUCUAGGCUGUCCCCUAGCGAGGGCCUUUCAGUGGUUAGGCGUAGGAGGUAUGUAUUAUUAAUAAUAUUAUAUACCUUCUUCACUCACUACACCUCUUGAAUGCGAUCUCAAAUCAGGUAAGACUACCCGCUGAACUUAA
rnacentral:misc_RNA from 1 species